GCUAGCGUAGCUUAAAAUAAAGCAUAGCACUGAAGAUGCUAAGAAGGACCAUAAAAGGCCCGCAUGCA
rnacentral:tRNA from 1 species